UUUUCAAGACAGAGUUUCUCUGUGGAGCCCUGACUGCCCUGGAACUGAAAGAUCCCUGAAGAGAGACCCUUACUCAAGUCUCGGGAAAUCGCGGACCCCAGACACAGAGAGGCCA
rnacentral:pre_miRNA from 14 species